ACUUUGCAGCUAUAUACAUGGCAGAAUCCGGUGACUAUCCCUUGUACAGCUGCAGGAAUUGUAGGAAUCCACUUGCUUUCGAUAGGGAUCUCCUCUCUAAGGCUUACAAGGCAAGAUCAGGGCAGGCAUACAUGUUCUCUCAUGUGAUGAACAUUGUUUUGGGACAAAAAGAAGACAGGAAGAUGCUAACUGGGAUGUACACAGUUGCUGCUGUAUUCUGCAGAAAUUGUGGUCACGAGCUGGGUUGGAAAUAUGUGAGAGCUUUUGAUCCAUCACAGAGGAUCAAGGAAGGGAAUUUCAUAGUUGAGAAAUUGAAGCUUGUGAAGGAAUAUUAAUUAUUCACAACAAGAGUCAUAUUGAGAGAGAGAUUCAUAUUCUAACUUAAUAUGUCCCAUAUGAAGUGGUUAUGAAUUCAUUUGCAUUUGACUGUUUGCUAAUAAUUAUAAGACUGUUUAUGCUUGAUUAA